CAUAUGCUUGUCUCAAAGAUUAAGCCAUGCAUGUCUAAGUUCACACUCGUUUACGGUGAAACCGCGAAUGGCUCAUUAAAUCAGUCGAGGUUCCUUAGAUGACACGAUCCUACUUGGAUAACUGUGGCAAUUCUAGAGCUAAUACAUGCCUUUGAAGCUCCGACCCUUGCGGAAAGAGCGCUUUUAUUAGUUCAAAACCAAUCGUCGGUUCGUCGCUUGCGGCGUCCGGCGUCCCCUUUGGUGACUCUGGAUAACUUCGUGCUGAUCGCAUGGCCUUCGUGCCGGCGACACAUCUUUCAAAUGUCUGCCCUAUCAAAUGUCGAUGGUACGUGAUAUGCCUACCAUGUUUGUAACGGGUAACGGGGAAUCAGGGUUCGAUUCCGGAGAGGGAGCAUGAGAAACGGCUACCACAUCCAAGGAAGGCAGCAGGCGCGCAACUUACCCACUCCCGGCACGGGGAGGUAGUGACGAAAAAUAACAAUACGGGACUCUCUACGAGGCCCCGUAAUUGGAAUGAGUACACUUUAAACCCUUUAACGAGGAUCUAUUGGAGGGCAAGUCUGGUGCCAGCAGCCGCGGUAAUUCCAGCUCCAAUAGCGUAUAUUAAAGUUGUUGCAGUUAAAAAGCUCGUAGUUGGAUCUCAGGUGCAGGCGGAUGGUCCGGCUCGCGCCGGUUCACUGUCCGUAUUUCCUGCCCUACUGGUUUGCCGGCUCUCUCCCGUGGGUGCUCUUCACUGAGCGUCCCGGGUGGCCGGCGCGUUUACUUUGAAAAAAUUAGAGUGUUCAAAGCAGGCCUCGGCUGCCUGAAUAAUGGUGCAUGGAAUAAUGGAAUAGGACCUCGGUUCUAUUUUGUUGGUUUUCGGAACUGGAGGUAAUGAUUAACAGGGACAAACGGGGGCAUUCGUAUUGCGGCGUUAGAGGUGAAAUUCUUGGAUCGCCGCAAGACGAGCUACUGCGAAAGCAUUUGUCAAGAAUGUUUUCAUUAAUCAAGAACGAAAGUCA
rnacentral:rRNA from 1 species